CAAGACCUGGAUCGGCAGGGACAAAGCAGGCCUCGACCACUGCCGCCGCAGGAUCAUCCGGGAAAGAGAACAGGCCCCCCAAGAGCGCCGUGGCGGGAGCAGCGACGCCCCUGCAGCGAGGAAGUUCCCGCCUGGCUUCGAGGUCCUGCGUGAGGCCACUCUUCGCUGCGCAGGGGAAGCAGGAGGUGG